UACGGGGGGGGGUAAGCGUUGUUCGGAAUUACUGGGCGUAAAGGGCUCGUAGGCGGCCAACUAAGUCAGACGUGAAAUCCCUCAGCUUAACUGGGGAACUGCGUCUGAUACUGGAUGGCUUGGAUUCGGGAGAGGAAUGCGGAAUUCCAGGUGUAGCGGUGAAAUGCGCAGAUAUCGGGAGGAACACCGGUGGCGAAGGCGGAUCUCUGGGCCAUUACGUGACGCUGAGGAGCGAAAGCGUGGGGAGCGAACAGG
rnacentral:rRNA from 1 species